rnacentral:lncRNA from 10 species
GUCACAUCCUGGCAACGGUACUACCCUGGGUUCCGGGCAGGGGUGGAACUGGAUUCUGCCUGGAUGGGGAUCGGAUGGGGGUGGAGGUUUGAUUUGGGAAGCAGAGCACAGCAGCCCAAAUUUGUUGUAAUGGCGGCGGCUACAGAAUUGAUUUUGGGAACAGAACACAGCAGCCUGAACUUGAUUGUUAUUUUGGCAGCUACAGGCAGAACAAGAAGGCCAAACAGAAGCCUCCACCAAUUGUCCUCCCUGCAGGAAGAUCAAAUUGAACAACUAUCCACACAAAGAAGCACUUUAAUGAGAAUGAAAAAUCAGGAAUAAUCUACAUCCAAUGACUUGUAAGUGCAAGAGUAUAAAGACUGGGCCCCUUUGACUCAAUUUAAGACAACUCUGAAGGGACAUGUCAGCCACAAGGAUCCCCAUGGGAUAGGAUGAAGUCUCCAUCAUGACUGGGCCACAGGUGAAUGCUUUCUCUGCCACUUCUUCCUCCCUACUUCCUUCACUUCCUCACAGAUGUUGUUCCUGAAAGUACUUUCCAAUAAUAAGUUCCUUCAUACAGACCUCUUAAUCUGACCAAACACAGGCAGUUUUAAAAUGGUUAAGCACACACUAGCCCUUUCCCAGAAAUUCUACUUCUAAGUAUUUUUCUCAAAAUAAAUGAAGCCAUAGGUCUACAGAAAUAUUUGUAUAAGAUGCUCAUAGGAGGGUAAUAACAGCCAAACAUGAAAACAACCCAAAUGUCUGUUAACAGGUUAACAGGUAGAUGGUUUAAAAAAUUGUGAUAUAUCCAUACAAUGGAAUCCAGCAAUAAGAAUGAAUAAAAUACUGAUUCAUGCAACACAAUGAAUGAAUCUCAAAAACAUUAUGUUGAGGGAAAGAAUCCUGACACAACAGAGUACAUACUAUAUGAUUUUAAUUAUAUGCAAAAUUAAUUUAUAAUGAUGGCAAACAGAAUAGAGGGUGCCUUGGAUGAGGAAAGAUUAAAUAUAAAAUGAAAUGGAGAACUUUCUGAGGUCAUGAAAAAGUUCUACAUCUUAAUUUUGGUGAUGGAUACAUAAGUAUUCACAUUUGUCAAAACUCAUAUAACCAUGGGCUCAAAAUCUAUGUCAGUAACUAUUGAAAAUUAAACCUGAAUAAAAAGUUUAAAACUCAAGUGACACUAAACAAUAUUGUUAAUAAAUGUAUUGCAAGGUAGUACAACAAAAGGAAAAAAUAAGAUGAUUAUUACAAAAUUCUCCCUUUACCGUGGAGAAACUUGACCACAAUUUACAUAGGUGAGCUUCUGCAUUGCUGAUAAUGUUCUAUAUCUAGACUUGUGUAGUGAAUAUAUGAGUGCUGAUUUCAUAAUCACUGCUAAACUGUAUGUAUUUGCAGGUUUUUUGUAUAUUUCACACUUAGAAAAAUAUUUAAAUGAAUAUAUUUAACUAAGGAUUAGUACACAAAAAAUAUGUAAGAAACUCAUAUAACUAACAAGAAGAUGACAAAUAACCUGCUAGAAAAAAAAUGGGAAAAAUAAAUAAACAGGAGUUUAACAGAAAAAGAAGCACAAAUGUAUCAUAGACAUUUUUAUUUUAUUUAUCUUUUGUAUAGGGAUGGGGUCUCGCUGUGUUGCCCAGAUGGGGCCUCAAAUUCCUGGCCUCAAGCAGUCCUCCUGUCUCAGCCUCCCAAAGUGCUGGGACUACAGGCAUAAACUACCACACCCAGCCAGUAAGUAAUAGGCACUUUUAAACAGCUAUAUUGAGAUAUAAUUUACAUCUCAUAUACGCCAUCCAUUUAAACUGUAUGACUCAAUGGUUUUAGUCAUGCAUUUAAUUACCUUUUCUUUUUAGUUGUCCAUCACUGCUCAUUCUUACUCUCUUCCUCUCUCUCUCUCUCUCUCUCUCUCACACACACACACACACACACACACACACACACACCCCAGAAUGUAGAAUCCUUGAGGGCAGGGACUUUAUCUUCUUCACUUGCUGUGUCCUAAUAUCUAGAAUGGUGCCUCAGAAUUGUAGGUCCUUAAUAAAUGUUUGUUAGUUGACUGGAAUGAAGGCAGUGGAGAUGGAGAAAACUGAAUCGACGUGAGGAAUAGGUAGGACCCGGCAAUGGAUAGGAUGUGGGGACUGAUGGAGAGGGAUGUGUCAUGAUGACUUCCAGAUUUCCGGUUUGGGCCAUUCAGCAGUUGUUGAUGUCAAUAACAGAGCCAUAGAACACUGGAGGCAGAACAGAUUGGGAGAUACAAAUGACUGGAAGUAGAAUGACAUCUUGUAGUGAAAAGAACAUGUAUAUAGAAAGUAGAAAAACUGAGUCAUAGUCCUGAAUUUCCUGUGUAACUCUGAUCAGGCAACUGCCCACUUCUGGACCUGUUUUUCUUUUGUGAGUUGAUUGGUUUGGACUGAAAAAACAUUCUGGGUUUUUGCAUCCAGAUCUUGGUAAAUAAUUUAGGACAUGUAGAAUCUGUCCACAGAGGUAUGUUUCACUGAGUCCAUACCCCUCAAUUGGCUUAUAGCUAUUAUCACAAAUCUGUCUGUGGCAUCAAACCUUUGCCCAGAGAUCUCUGAAAUUUCUAGAGAGUGAUGCACCUGGGCUGACAAACAAGUCGCUCAUCUACACUUAGCCUGAAACACAAAGUAUCCUUUGUCGUUUCUGCUCCCACUGUUCAUUUCUAGGUCCAGGGAAGUCAGCUGAGGGCAGUUCCUCACCACUGCCACUGCCAGCAGUUCCCUGCACAGCAAUGAUGAUGAGUUCACCAAAGACGUUUUACUGUGGAAGCUCCUAAAACUACUGGCCCAAUCAGAAACCAGACCUUAAGAUGCCAAAGGAUUGCUCGGGGGCCUUAUGUUAUAGCAUGAUGAGAUAGUGACUAUAAAAUGAACGUGCUAAACAUAUUUGAAGACAUAAAACACAGAAUUUUUAAAACACAAUAAAAUAGGCCGGGCACGGUGGCUCAUGCCUGUAAUCCCAGCACUUUGGGAGGUCGAUGUGGGCGGAUCACCUGAGGUCGGGAGUUUGAGACCAGUCUGACCAACAUGGAGAAACGCCAUCUCUACUAAAAAUACAAAAAUUAGCUGGGCAUCAUGGCACAUGCCUGUAAUCCCAGCUACUUGGGAGGCUGAGGCAGGAGAAUCGCCUGAACCUGGGAGGCGGAGGUUGCAGUGAGCCAAGAUCACGCUAUUGCACUCCAGCCUGGGCAACAAGAGUAAAACUCCGUCUAAAAAAUAAAUAAAUAAAUAAAUAAAUAAAUAAAUAAAUAAAUAAAAUAAGAGAACCUUCUAGGGACUCCCCACUUUCCUUGGAAUAAAGUCCAGACCCCUUUCCAUGGCCCAUGGGGUCCUGCAUGGUGGGGACAUUGGCCUCCUGUCCAGCCUGGGCUCCUGCCACUCUCCCUGCUUAGCUAAAAUCUGAAGCCCAAGGUUCCUUCACCCCCUCAAGCAAAACUCCUUUUUGCUGUGCUGGGGUCCCUGUGGAUACUGCCUUUCUGCCCUUGAGCUUCUGUGGCCUGUGAGGCUCACCCUGUCCAGAGGCUCAAGCUUACCAAGCUCCCAUGCCCUGUGAUGAUUCUAUUGCGAGAUUGUGGGGCAAUUCCCUAUCUGGCUUUGCUUCCCCACGUGGUUGGCUAAGAAGCCACUAUGUCUGCGUGGGUCUCAGGCCAGCCUGUAGGACAUGAGGAGCUGGAAAGCAGAAGGCUGGCAGGGCUGAGAGCUGAGAGCUGUUGGCAGAUCCCCCAGGGCCUGCAGUGCAGCGUCUUGUAGCAGGCAUCUUUCUCCAAUAGCCCAGAAGGCAGUGUGGGAGUAGGGGUCAUUUGUCCCAAAUACUAGCUCACUGGUCCUCAGGUUGCAGAACCAAGCAGGGAGGCUAUUGGUUCCCUGCUAGGCCACUGCUAGGAUUCAUGGGCAGCUUCUUUCCUGACAAGGCAUUUUCAAGGCUGCUGCUCCUUUCCUCACCUCUUUUUACUUUUAAUUGUGGUAAAAUACACAUCAUAUAAAAUGUACCAUCUUCAUGAUUUUUAAGUGUACAGUUCAGUGGUACAUUAAGCACAUUCACAGUGUUGUGCAACCAUCACCACCAUCCAUCCACAGACUUGUCAAACUAAACCUCUGUCCCCAUUAAACACUAACUCCCCAUUCUCCCUCCCCCUACCCCCGGCACUGACCAUUCUACUGUCUGUCACUAUGGAUUUGACCAUUCUAGGGACCUUGUAUCAGUGGAAUCCUACACUAAUUGUCCUUUUGUGAGUGGCUUACUUCACUGAGCGUAAUGCUCUCUAGGGUCAUCCAUGCGUAGCAUGUGUCAGAAUGUCGUUCCUUUUUAAGACUGAAUAAUAGUCCAUUGUAUGGAUGGACCACAUUUGGCUUAUCUAUUCAUCCAUUGAUGGAAAUUUGUCUUGAUCCACCAGCUGGAUAUUAUGAAUAAUGCUGCUGUGAACAUGAGUACACAAAUAUCUCUUCGAUCUGCUUUCAGUUCUUUUGGAUACAUACCCAGAAACGAGAUUGCUAGAUCAUAUGGUAAUUCUGUGUUGAAUAUUUCAAGGAACAUCCAUUCUAUCUUCCACCAUUUUACAUUCCCACAUAUGGUGUAUAAGGGUGCACAAGGGUUCCAAUUUCUCCACAUCCUCACCAACAUUUGUUUUCUGUUUUUGUGAUACUAGCCAUCCCACUGAGUGUGAGGUGGUAUCUCACAAUAGUUUUGAUUUGCAUUUCCCUAACUGGUGAUGUUGAACAUCUUUUCAUAUACUUAUUGGUCAUUUGUAUAUCUUCUUUGAAGUAUCAUCUAUUCAAGCCUUUUGCCCAUUUUUAAAUCUCGCUUGUUUCUUGUUGUUGUUUGGUUGUAAAAGUUCUUUAUAUAUUCUUGAUAGUAACCCCUUAUCAGAUGUGUGAAUUGCAAAUAUUUUCUCCCAUUCCAUUGAUUGCCUUUUAAUAUUGUUGAUUGUUCCUUUGAUGUGCAGAAGUUUUUAAUUUUGAUGUAGGCCAGCGUGGUGGGUCAUGCCUAUAAUCCCAGCACUUUGGGAGGCCAAGCAAGGGAAUCACUUCAGCCCAGGAGUUCAAGACCAGCCUGGACAACGUAGGGAGACCCUGUUUUUAUUUUUAAAAGAAUUUUUAAAAAGUUUUAGCCAGGAGUGUUGGCGCGUGCCAGUAGUCCCAACUACCCAGGAGGCUGAGGCAAGAGUACCACUUGAGCCUAGGAGUUCGAGGCUGCAGUAAGCCAUGAUUGCACCACUGCACUCCAGCCUACACAACAGAGUGAGAUCCCGUUUCCAAAAAAAAAAAAAAAAAAAAAAAAAAAAAAAAAAGAAGUAGUCUCAUUUGUCUAUUUGUUCUUUUGUUGCCUGUAUUUUUGUCAUUGUAUCCAAGAAAGCAUUGCCACAUCCAAUGUCAUGAAGCUUCUCCCCUCUGUUUUCUUCAGUUUACAGUUUUGGCACUUGUGUUUAGGUCUUUCAUCCAUUUGAGUUAAUUUUAGUAUAUGAUGUAAAGUGAGGGUCCAAUUUCAUUAUUUUGCAUGUGGAUAACAAGUUGUCCCAACAUCAUUUGUUGAGAUUCUCCUCAGCUCUUAAAGGAAGAGAGGACAAGGAGCAUGGUGACUGAGGGUGACAAGACCUCCCUUUCUCUUGCUGAGCCACUCACUUGAUCAAGGACCCUGAGCAUGAAUUUAUUUAUUCAUUCACGCAUUGGGCAAUAUCCAAACCCAGAGUUCACAACCUCCAUAAAAUUUAGGGAGUCCAUGCAAUUAGAUCGUGAAAGAAUACUUUUUUUUUAAAUUUUUACUAACCUCUAGUUGAAAUUACCAUCAUGGAUAACGAAUGCAGGCAAUCAACCACAGGAAGAUUAGCAGUACUUAUAACAGUCACCGAGUGAAAUCCCUGAUAUUUUCAUAUUACAUUAACUGUGGCAGCAGCUCUUCAAAUAUGCUUUAUACUUGUCACUACUUCCAAAUUACAACAGUUAUUAGACCUUUCCUCAAUUCUAUUAUUUAACACAUUAAUGAAGAUGCACAUACAUUUUAUGGCAUCACAAUUGUGGCUUAGAAAAAUAUUUUGAUAACUGUCUUUCAAUAAAA